rnacentral:rRNA from 1 species
UACGGGGGGGGUAAGCGUUGUUCGGAAUUACUGGGCGUAAAGGGCUCGUAGGCGGCCAACUAAGUCAUACGUGAAAUCCCUCAGCUUAACUGGGGAACUGCGUGUGAUACUGGAUGGCUUGGAUUUGGGAGAGGGAUGCGGAAUUCCAGGUGUAGCGGUGAAAUGCGUAGAUAUCAAGAGGAACACCGGUGGCGUAGGCGGUUGCCUGGAAGAUUCCUGACUCUGAAACACGAAAGCCAGGGGAGCAAACGGG